CUCUGAGGGAGGUUUUAAGAGAGGAAGAGAGAAAAGGAAAGACUGAAAGCAAAGGUAAUAGUACAAAAUGACCAUAAUUACAAUUACGUAGUAGUAAUAAAUCCAGAAUUGCAGUGUAACACACCAGAGUAGAGUAAGGCCUUAAAACACAUUAGAAUUAGAAUUAAUAGGCUAUACUUUUGUUAGUACAUCCACCCUCAACCCAAAAUGCACCUUAGCUCCUGAAAAACACUGUGUUGUGUUCCUGCUAUGCUCCCAAUUACUUUAAUUAUGUUAUUAAAAGAAGUGUAGAAUAUAUGAAAUCUUAUUUCUUUGAAUAUUGUCAGUGUUUUUCUUUUGAUUCACCUCUUAGAGAAAGUGGAUUUUUCCCCUAAAUAUAUAUCAUACUGUUCUUGCUGGUUUUGAUUUUUUGUAAUAUUUUAAUAUAAGGGAAGAAUGGUUAUUAGAGUACCACCAAAUACUGUUUAAAUAUACCAUUUUACAUAAAUAUUACUCUAAUAUUAGUACAUUUAAUGUGGGCUAUGAAGAAAUGUCUUUGGACAGCUUAAUUAAAAUUCAGGAAAUUUUGCCAGCUUCUUUCCCAGUUUCAAUGAUAAAAAUAAAAUGCUGUGUGGUUGAUAUGAGAAUAGUUCUGAAGAGCACAACCUUUAUGUAUUUGCAUUGAUGCCUUCCUUCUCAUUUCUUGAAUACAUUUGCUAGAAUAUAUCUAUCUUAUUUUUUCUAAGAAACAUUUCUGUGUAUCUAAACUUUUUGCUGAUGUAUAAGUUGUUUAGUUAUACUUUCAUUUGUAUUGAUAGUCUUUUGCUUCUUUUGACUUUGGUUUUUUCUUAUUCAUCUUGCUUUUAAUUUACUCAUUACUUAAUUAAUGCAAAUUACUUAAUUAAUAAUAUCAACAACUAAGGCUUGGAAUCUGCCUCUGAGCCUCUUCAUUGGAAAUAUCUCAAGAGUACAUAAACAGGACAUUCAUUAUUGCUAUUUCUAAAGUUGUUGAGCUUUAAAUUUUUAUUUUCAAUUAGACAAACAUAGA
rnacentral:lncRNA from 1 species